GGCUCUGGAUCCGCCCGGCUCCCUCGGGAUGCCCAGCAGUUGGCCUUGACACCAGGUUUCGCCACUUGGUUUCCUGAGUUAGUGCUGAGAGGUCCCACUACUUCCGUUUCACCCGUGUACAUUCUUGCUUCCUUUGUCGUCAAUUAAUUGACCAGAUAAGCGUGAGUUCAUUUUGGGGCUCUCUUACCAAAGUGUAGUAGUCAUUCGAGAAAAGCACUUGCACUAUUGAUUGAGCUGUGAGCUGAACUAGCCCCCUUUGCCAGGGAACAUUACUUCUUUUGUGAAAGAACAACUGACGAACUGCGGUUAUUGACAGUGGGAUACUUGGAGACACUUCAUUGAACAAUGAACCAAGUGAGCCUGUUGCUUCAUGAUGCCACAGAACCGGAAUAGGACUCAAUCCGGCAGGGAUCUGCGGAGGGAGAACAGGCAAAUUGUGUUUUCCAAAGAUGGCCACAACAGCGACUCCCUCUUUGCAAGGCUGACCUGGGCUCCCAGCCACUGUGUUAUAAGGGGGCCUAGACCACAUGAAGAAGCCGUGUGUAGGUGUUCCAGCCAACAGCCUAAGGAAGAACCAAGCAUUAGCCAUUCACUUGAUGGCUAAUGCAUUAAUUGAUGUAUUAGCAUCAAUUCUGUAUUGGUGACGGAAGGAGCCUUCAGGUUCAUUCUUGCCCCUGCCCUGGAGUCGCUCCUGUUUACCCCAGGCCUCCAGAAAUGCCUCUGAAUCCCUGGCAGGACCUGUGCUUGCUCUGUACACACAUACCAAAGGCUGGUCCUGGGUCUCAGGCCCCCCAAUUCAGCAGAGGUCACAGACAGGACUAGGUCAGCAGCCCACCAGGUGGUCUGAGCAGUGGGUCCAGGCUGGACUUACAACGCCUUGAUCAUGCAGCAGCCGUCCGCAUCAGCCUUCCUUAGGGAGAAUGACGACUGUACUAGUUUUACCCGCUUGUUAAAAAUGCUGAUUUAGGGGCAGCCCGGGUGGUUCAGUGGUUUAGUGCCGCCUUCAGCCAGGCCCAGGGCGUGAUCCUGGAGCCCUGGGAUCGAGUCCCGCAUUGGGCUCCCUGCGUGGGGCCUGCUCCUCCC